UUAAUUGAAGCCAAAGUGAGGCUUUUCAUUGUUAAUGGAAGAAUUGAUAUUAAAAGAUCCAAUUAAA
rnacentral:tRNA from 1 species